UACGUAGGCAGCAAGCGUUGUUCGGAAUUACUGGGCGUAAAGAGUGUGUAGGCGGUGCUCUAAGUUUGGUGUGAAAUCUCCCGGCUUAACUGGGAGGGUGCGCCGAAAACUGGAAUGCUUGAACAUGGGAGAGGAAAGCGGAAUUCCUGGUGUAGCGGUGAAAUGCGUAGAUAUCAGGAGGAACACCUGCGGUGUAGACGGCUUUCUGGACCAUUGUUGACGCUGAGACACGAAAGCGUGGGUAGCAAACAGG
rnacentral:rRNA from 2 species